CCUACGGGGCGCGCCAGUGUGGAAUAUUGCACAAUGGGCGCAAGCCUGAUGCAGCCAUGCCGCGUGUAUGAAGAAGGCCUUCGGGUUGUAAAGUACUUUCAGCGGGGAGGAAGGUGUUGUGGUUAAUAACCGCAGCAAUUGACGUUACCCGCAGAAGAAGCACCGGCUAACUCCGUGCCAGCAGCCGCGGUAAUACGGAGGGUGCAAGCGUUAAUCGGAAUUACUGGGCGUAAAGCGCACGCAGGCGGUCUGUCAAGUCGGAUGUGAAAUCCCCGGGCUCAACCUGGGAACUGCAUUCGAAACUGGCAGGCUAGAGUCUUGUAGAGGGGGUUAGAAUUCCCGGUGUAGCGGUGAAAUGCGUAGAGAUCUGGAGGAAUACCGGUGGCGAAGGCGGCCCCCUGGACAAAGACUGACGCUCAGGUGCGAAAGCGUGGGGAGCAAACAGGAUUAGAUACCCGGGUAGUC
rnacentral:rRNA from 1 species